UAGGGAAUCUUCCACAAUGGACGAAAGUCUGAUGGGGCAACGCCGCGUGAGUGAAGAAGGGUUUCGGCUCGUAAACUCUGUUGUUAAAGAAGAACAUAUCUGAGAGUAACUGUUCAGGUAUUGACGGUAUUUAACCAGAAAGCCACGGCUAACUACGUGCCAG
rnacentral:rRNA from 1 species